UACGAAGGGGGCUAGCGUUGCUCGGAAUCACUGGGCGUAAAGGGUGCGUAGGCGGGUCUUUAAGUCAGGGGUGAAAUCCUGGAGCUCAACUCCAGAACUGCCUUUGAUACUGAGGAUCUUGAGUCCGGAAGAGGUUGGUGGAACUGCGAGUGUAGAGGUGAAAUUCGUAGAUAUUCGCAAGAACACCAGUGGCGAAGGCGGCCAACUGGUCCGGUACUGACGCUGAGGUGCGAAAGCGUGGGGAGCAAACAGG
rnacentral:rRNA from 1 species